UACGUAGGUGGCAAGCGUUGUCCGGAUUUACUGGGCGUAAAGGAUGCGUAGGCGGACAUUUAAGUCAGAUGUGAAAUACCCGAGCUUAACUUGGGGGGCUGCAUUUGAAACUGGGUGUCUAGAGUGCAGGAGAGGUAAGUGGAAUUCCUAGUGUAGCGGUGAAAUGCGUAGAGAUUAGGAAGAACACCAGUGGCGAAGGCGACUUACUGGACUGUAACUGACGCUGAGGCAUGAAAGCGUGGGGAGCAAACAGG
rnacentral:rRNA from 1 species